rnacentral:lncRNA from 1 species
UGUUCAGAAUGGUACUUCCUAGGUUUUCCUUUAGAGUUUUUAUAGGUUUAGGUCUUACAUUUAAAUCUCUAAUUCAUUUUACAUUGAUAUUUGUGUGGUGAAAGGAAGGGAUUCAGUUUUAAUCUGCAUAUGGCUAUAGCCAGUUAUCUCAGUGCCCUUUGUUGAACAGGGAGUCCUUUUCCCAUUGCAUGUUACUGUCAGCUUUGUCAAAGAUCAGAUUGUUAUAAGUGUGAUGCUUUAUUUCUGUGUUCUCUUUAGUUGCAUUUGCUUUUGGGGUCUUAGUCAUGAAUUCUUUGCCUACAGCAAUGUCCAGAAGAGUUUUUCCUAGGUUGUCUUCCAUAAUUUUUAUCAUUUCACAUCUUAAAGUCUUUGGCCAUUUUGAGUUGAUUUUUAUAUAAGGUGAGAGAUAGGCUCUGCCUUCAUAAAUGGAUUAAUGCCAUUAUCACAGGAGAGGGGUCCUUAUAAAAGGGGGUGUUUGGCUUGCUUUUUACUUGCAAUCUUCCCAAUGUUCCAUGAACUCCAUUUUCAUGUUACUGUUCAAGUUGUUUCAUCAACAAAGAUAACAUCUCUUUAUAACCCAGGUAUUAUCUUACAAUUAAGUGAUUACAAUGACAACAAUUUUAUAUAUCACUUCUAGGUUAAUCCAAAAAAUGGCUUCACUUUUUCAUAGGCCACACAGCCAACGCCUACUGCAGGAAGCACCUUUAUGAUGUUUGGGGUGAAACCCCUGUAAAAUCCCAAU